rnacentral:sRNA from 1 species
CAACAAUUGAAAGGAGGUGAUCCAGUGUCUGAUCGUCUUGAUCCGCGGUCGUCGGUAUCCGUGACCUGGACGCUUGCCUCUUGCGAGGUCCGUGCCGCGUGAUGCGACACUUUGUGCCGCCUUCGUGGCGGCUACCGGACCGGACCGCGGUCUGACAUGGGGAGGGCUGCUCGCGAGGGCAGCCCU